GGAGAUCCAUCCUUAGUGAAAGCUGAAUGUUCUUUGAAGACAUUGGAAAAAACGUGGGAUAUAGAAGAUCAAGGCUUCCUCUUAGAAUUCCAGAAUUAUGAGAUGGAAGUAGAGAAUGAAUAUGAACUGGGGACAAGACUAAAAGGAGAUGAGGAGGAAAUAUCUAUGAUCCGAUCCCUGCUCAAGUAUUAUGCGGAGAUAUUUGAGACACCGAAGAAAUUACCUCCAAAAAGAGCUAUUGAUCACCGAAUAUUAACCCUACCUGACCAUAAACCUAUCAACGUAAGACCUUACAAAUACGGUCAUGUGCAGAAAGAAGAAAUAGAAAAACUGGUGGUCGAGAUGCUUCAAGCAGGGGUUAUUCGCCCUAGUCAUAGCCCUUACUCCAGCCCGGUGUUGUUAGUGAAGAAAAAAGAUGGUGGAUGGAGAUUUUGUGUCGAUUACCGCAAGUUAAAUCAGGCGACAGUAUCGGAUAAGUUCCCAAUUCCUGUGAUAGAGGAAUUAUUAGAUGAGCUGAAUGGGGCAACGGUUUUCUCGAAAUUAGAUCUGAAAUCUGGUUAUCACCAGAUUAGAAUGAAAGAGGAAGAUGUGGAGAAAACUGCGUUCCGCACACAUGAAGGGCACUAUGAGUUUCUAGUAAUGCCGUUUGGUCUCACGAAUGCUCUGGCAACCUUCCAAUCUUUGAUGAACCAGGUAUUUAAACCUUUCCUUCGGCGCUGUGUUUUGGUUUUCUUUGAUGAUAUACUGGUUUAUAGUGCGGAUAUAGAUGAACACGCAAAGCAUUUGGGCAUGGUAUUCAAUGUUUUGAAGGAUAACCAGCUGUUUGCUAACAAAAAAAAAUGCGUUAUAGCCCAUUCUCAAAUACAGUACUUGGGACAUAGGAUAUCCAAAAGAGGAGUUGAGGCAGAUGAGGAUAAGAUCAAGAAGAUGAUUGAUUGGCCACCACCAACGAAUAUAUCUGGUCUGCGGGGCUUCUUAGGACUGACAGGAUAUUAUAGGAGGUUUGUCAAGGGUUAUGGAGAGAUUGCUGCACCGCUAACCAAGUUAUUACAGAAGAAUGCUUUUAAGUGGAAUGAAGAAGCAAAUACUGCCUUCGAAAAUUUGAAGCUAGCAAUGACUACUCUACCAGUGUUGGCAUUACCAGAUUGGAACAUUCCCUUUAUUAUCGAAACUGAUGCAUCUGGCGUAGGGUUAGGAGCGGUGAUCUCUCAAAAUGGCCACCCGAUUGCCUUUUUCAGUCAGAAGUUAUCCACAAGGGCUCAAAACAAACCCAUCUAUGAAAGAGAGUUGAUGGCUGUAGUUCUAUCAGUUCAAAAAUGGAGGCAUUAUUUGCUGGGCAGGAAGUUCACCAUACUUUCAGAUCAAAAGGCUCUUAAAUUCUUGCUUGAACAGAGAGAGGUACAGCCCCAAUUCCAGAAAUGGUUGACAAAGCUCCUUGGAUAUGAUUUCGAGAUUUUAUAUCAACCCGGACUUCAGAACAAGGCAGCGGACGCCCUAUCUAGAAUGGAGCAACCGGUGGAGCUGCACAGCUUGACAACUACUGGAAUCAUUGAUGUGAAACUAAUCGAGCAGGAAGUUGAGAAUGAUGCUGAACUUAAGAAAAUUAUGGAAAAUCUGAAGAAAAAUGCAGAAGAAGGAAGCAAGUUUCAAGUGGAAAAAGGAAGAUUGCUCUAUAAGGGGAGAAUGGUAGUAUCUCAAACUUCUACACUUAUACCCAAGAUCCUACAUACUUUCCACGAUUCUAUCCUCGGGGGACAUUCUGGAUUUUUAAGAACUUACGAGAGGAUCAGUGGAGAACUAUAUUGGAGGGGUAUGAAGGCUGAAAUAAAGAAAUAUGUGGAACAAUGCGAGAUCUGCCAGAGAAACAAAUACGAAGCAACCAAACCAGCUGGGGUACUUCAACCAAUUCCAAUUCCUGACAGAAUCUUAGAAGAUUGGACCAUGGACUUUAUUGAGGGGUUGCCACUAGCUGGAGGGGUUAAUGUGAUCAUGGUGGUAGUUGAUCGGCUGAGUAAGUAUUCUUACUUUAUAUCAUUGAGACAUCCGUUUUCAGCCAAGCAAGUUGCUUCCAUAUUCAUCGACAGAAUAGUAAGCAAGCACGGCAUUCCUAAGUCGAUUAUCACAGAUCGGGAUAAAAUCUUUCUUAGUAAUUUUUGGAAGGAACUGUUUGCAACCAUGGGAACUAUUCUAAAGAGGAGUACCGCGUUUCACCCACAAACUGAUGGGCAGACAGAAAGGGUAAAUAGAUGUCUCGAAACUUAUCUGCGAUGCUUCUGUAAUGAACAACCAAAAAAAUGGGAUAGACUGAUUCCAUGGGCAGAAUUGUGGUAUAAUACCACCUUCCAUGCAUCCACCAAAAUGACCCCUUUCAGGCGGUAUACCGCAGACCGCCUCCUCCCCUGUUAUCCUAUGGUUACAAGAAAACUCCUAAUAAUGAGGUUGACACGCUGCUGAAGGAACGUGACUUAGCCAUCAAUGCCUUAAAAGAACACCUGUGUGUAGCCUAGAACAGGAUGAUGAAAAUGGCUGAUCGAAAUAGAAGAGAGUUAAAAUUUAAGGUAGGAGAUGAAGUCUACUUGAAAUUGAGACCUUACCGGCAACGCUCCUUGGCUCGGAAGAAGUGUGAAAAGUUAGCACCUAAAUAUUACGGACCCUACAAAAUUACUGAAGAAAUAGGAGCAGUUGCGUACAGAUUGAUGUUACCGCCGGAAGCCAGUAUCCACAAUGUGUUCCAUAUUUCUCAGUUAAAACUGAAACUGGGUAGUCAACAAGCUGUUCAACACCAGCAACCUAGGCUAACGGAAGAGUUUGAGUUACAAUUAUGGCCGGAAACAGUGUUGGGAGUCCGUUGGAAUCGGGAAUUGGGAGGAAAUGAAUGGUUAAUUAAGUGGAAAGGGCUGCCGGACAGUGAAACAACUUGGGAAUCUGUUUUCCAAAUGAACCAACAAUUCCCUGACUUGCACCUUGAGGACAAGGUGAACCUGGAACCGAGGGGUAUUGUAAGGCCCCCUAUUAUCCAUACAUACAAAAGGAGGGGUAAAAACGUAAAAGCUCACGCAGCAGAAAAGGGGAGAAUAUUAGGAAAAGAACAUGAGAGUGGGGCCCACGGGGAAGAAUGAGAAAAGAGCUAUAAAUAAGGCCUUAUCGGGAUUGGGGGCUAGGUUAACUUUUUGUCUUCAUUUGGUCUGUAGAGGCUGCUAGGUCUAGGAAGGACUACUAUCUUUUCCUGGGGAGGUUUGACAUAUUUCCAUCUUUAUUGCUUUCUUUUAUAUUUCCUUCUACUGUAUCUCUUGGCAUUUAUAUAAAAUAAAGAUCUACAGAGUGCUGUCUCUGUUUGCCAACUGUUUGGGUAAUUUAGUAUUUUAUUUGUGGAGUCUCUACAACUGGUAUCAGAGCCCAAACGCUGGGGGUGGUGACGCGGCUGAUGGCGCAAAGGCAAAUAGAAGAAAGAAUAGAUGGAACAGAGAAAGAAAUACUGAGCUUGAAGGAAAUGAUUCUGGAAACGAAGAAAAUCCAUGGAUAGACUGGCAUGAAAUGAAAGAAAACAGCAGCUACAAAAGGCGAGAUGAAUCCGGAACUUCUGAUGGAUCAGUCAUGAAGUUAAAAGGAAAAUGGGAAGAAGCCGACAAUCCAGGGAAAACAAUGUAGUAACUGUCGACCGAAGCAAAUAUAAGAAACUGGAAAUGCCGAUUUUCACCGGGGAAAAUCCUGAGUCAUGGGUGUUUAGAGCUGAGCAUUUUUUCGAAAUUAAUAGCCUACCGGAAGCAGAAAAAGUGAAAGUAGCAGUGGUUAGUUUCGGACAAGAUGAAAUCGAUUGGUACCGUUGGAGUAACCAUAGAAAGAAGGUGGAAGGAUGGGAAGAUUUGAAGGUAAGGAUGUUUGAAUUUUUUCAAGAUUCUGGGCAGAAGAGCUUAGGUGCAAGGCUGAUUCGAAUAGAACAAGAUGGAUCCUAUAAUGAUUAUGUCAAGAAAUUCGUACAAUAUUCUGCACCACUACCGCACAUGGCUGAAAGCGUGCUCUUAGAUGCAUUCGUGACAGGUCUAGAACCGGCUCUUCAAGCAGAAGUUAUUAGUAGACAUCCUCAAACCUUAGAGGAAUGUAUGAAGGAGGCACAACUGGUAAGUGGCAGAAACCUAGCCUUGAAAUUAGCCAAGGCAGAAUGGGUAAACAGUGUGACUAGGGAAGGAGGAGGCUCAAGCAAGGGACAAAGCAGUCAAGAUAAAAGUUCACCAAAGAAGACUGAGUUCCCCAUGAAGCAAGUCACUAUUCCCAUUAAAGGAAACUACCAGAAAAAUGAACCUCCAGUUAAAAGACUCUUGGACACGGAAUUCAGAGCAAGAUUGGACAAGGGUUUGUGUUUUAGAUGCAAUGAGAAGUACUCACCGCGGACACCGAUGCAAGAUGAGAGAGAAAAGGGAAUUAAUGUUAUUUAUACUUAACGAAGAAGAGAGUGGUGGGGAGGAAGUCAAAAUGGAAGAGACCGAAGAAGUAAUGGAGCUGAACCAGUUAGUUGUUGCUGAAACCACCGAAAUUGAAUUGAAGACACUCACGGGGUUAACAUCCAAAGGGACAAUGAAACUGAAGGGGCAUGUAAAAGGAAGGGAGGUGGUGAUUCUCAUCGACAGUGGAGCUACGAACAACUUCAUCCAUGAAGCAGUGGCAAUGGAAGGAGGGUUGAACAUUGAACCCGGUACACAAUUUGGAGUGACUAUUGGAGACGGACCCGCUGUAGAGGGAAAGGUAUUUGCAGAAAGGUGGAACUGAGAUUGAAAGAAAUGACAGUUAUAACUGAUUUUCUAGUGGUGGAACUAGGAAAUAUUGACGUGAUUUUAGGGAUGCAAUGGCUAGAUACCACCGGCACAAUGAAGGUACAUUGGCCAUCAUUAACCAUGACCUUUUGGGCAAAAGACAAGCAAAUCGUGUUAAGAGGAGAUCCAUCCUUAGUGAAAGCUGAAUGUUCUUUGAAGACAUUGGAAAAAACGUGGGAUAUAGAAGAUCAAGGCUUCCUCUUAGAAUUCCAGAAUUAUGAGAUGGAAGUAGAGAAUGAAUAUGAACUGGGGACAAGACUAAAAGGAGAUGAGGAGGAAAUAUCUAUGAUCCGAUCCCUGCUCAAGUAUUAUGCGGAGAUAUUUGAGACACCGAAGAAAUUACCUCCAAAAAGAGCUAUUGAUCACCGAAUAUUAACCCUACCUGACCAUAAACCUAUCAACGUAAGACCUUACAAAUACGGUCAUGUGCAGAAAGAAGAAAUAGAAAAACUGGUGGUCGAGAUGCUUCAAGCAGGGGUUAUUCGCCCUAGUCAUAGCCCUUACUCCAGCCCGGUGUUGUUAGUGAAGAAAAAAGAUGGUGGAUGGAGAUUUUGUGUCGAUUACCGCAAGUUAAAUCAGGCGACAGUAUCGGAUAAGUUCCCAAUUCCUGUGAUAGAGGAAUUAUUAGAUGAGCUGAAUGGGCAACGGUUUUCUCGAAAUUAGAUCUGAAAUCUGGUUAUCACCAGAUUAGAAUGAAAGAGGAAGAUGUGGAGAAAACUGCGUUCCGCACACAUGAAGGGCACUAUGAGUUUCUAGUAAUGCCGUUUGGUCUCACGAAUGCUCUGGCAACCUUCCAAUCUUUGAUGAACCAG
rnacentral:lncRNA from 1 species